AGACCCGAAACCCGGUGAUCUAGCCAUGGGCAGGUUGAAGGUUGGGUAACACUAACUGGAGGACCGAACCGACUAAUGUUGAAAAAUUAGCGGAUGACCUGUGGCUGGGGGUGAAAGGCCAAUCAAACCGGGAGAUAGCUGGUUCUCCCCGAAAGCUAUUUAGGUAGCGCCUCGUGAAUUCAUCUCCGGGGGUAGAGCACUGUUUCGGCUAGGGGGCCAUCCCGGCUUACCAACCCGAUGCAAACUGCGAAUACCGGAGAAUGUUAUCACGGGAGACACACGGCGGGUGCUAACGUCCGUCGUGAAGAGGGAAACAACCCAGACCGCCAGCUAAGGUCCCAAAGUCAUGGUUAAGUGGGAAACGAUGUGGGAAGGCCCAGACAGCCAGGAUGUUGGCUUAGAAGCAGCCAUCAUUUAAAGAAAGCGUAAUAGCUCACUGGUCGAGUCGGCCUGCGCGGAAGAUGUAACGGGGCUAAACCAUGCACCGAAGCUGCGGCAGCGACACUCAGGUGUUGUUGGGUAGGGGAGCGUUCUGUAAGCCUGCGAAGGUGGCCUGUGAGGGUUGCUGGAGGUAUCAGAAGUGCGAAUGCUGACAUAAGUAACGAUAAAGCGGGUGAAAAGCCCGCUCGCCGGAAGACCAAGGGUUCCUGUCCAACGUUAAUCGGGGCAGGGUGAGUCGACCCCUAAGGCGAGGCCGAAAGGCGUAGUCGAUGGGAAACGGGUUAAUAUUCCCGUACUUGGUGUUACUGCGAAGGGGGGACGGAGAAGGCUAUGUUGGCCGGGCGACGGUUGUCCCGGUUUAAGCGUGUAGGUGUGUGUUCCAGGUAAAUCCGGUUCACUUUAACACUGAGGCGUGAUGACGAGGCACUACGGUGCUGAAGCAACAAAUGCCCUGCUUCCAGGAAAAGCCUCUAAGCAUCAGGUAACAUCAAAUCGUACCCCAAACCGACACAGGUGGUCAGGUAGAGAAUACCAAGGCGCUUGAGAGAACUCGGGUGAAGGAACUAGGCAAAAUGGUGCCGUAACUUCGGGAGAAGGCACGCUGACAUGUAGGUGAAGUGAUUUACUCAUGGAGCUGAA
rnacentral:rRNA from 1 species